rnacentral:rRNA from 1 species
UACAGAGGUCUCAAGCGUUGUUCGGAUUCAUUGGGCGUAAAGGGUGCGUAGGCGGCGCGGUAAGUCGGGUGUGAAAUUUCGAGGCUUAACUUCGAAACUGCAUUCGAUACUGCCGUGCUUGAGGACUGGAGAGGAGACUGGAAUUUACGGUGUAGCGGUGAAAUGCGUAGAUAUCGUAAGGAAGACCAGUGGCGAAGGCGGAUCUCUGGGCCUUACCUGACGCUGAGGCGCGAAAGCUAGGGGAGCGAACAGG